rnacentral:lncRNA from 1 species
GUCCCGUCGGGCCCGCAAUGUCGUCCUGAGGGUUGCUGAUCUCUCCUCCUGGAGGCUGGAGCCCCACCACUCUAGUACGCGUCGCGUGCGUGGCGCGGCCGUGAUACAUCGAGCGCGGUGGGCGACGAACGGCGAGGCCCGCUGGUGGCUGAGUUCUGCCAUUGGGCGUGGCGUCGCAGACUCGCAGUGGAAGGGGACGUGCGCUGGUCGGGUGGUGGCUGGGACUCAUGGCCUCGGGCGCAUGCCACCUGCUCGACGGAAUGCCUGAGCCAAGGGGCUACCACCGAGCGCCAGGUAUGCUUAGAAAGCCAUGUUUGCUCUGUUGUUCUUCUCCAUAGCUGAGGUUUCACGUAUAUCAACUAGAAAUUGUUGGGGGUGUUUAUUCAGCAGUAAUAUAGGAUUAUAGGUAACAGAAACAAGUCGCACAACCAUGAGAAGAUUCUCUGGGGAUGGGGAAUAUUGAACUAAAUUUUCCGUUACUGCGUGGUUGGCAAGCUAGGACUUAAGGGAGUAUUCAAGGACAACUAGUUUUGAUCUCAAAACAUUAUUAUCUGAAACACCAGUAAACGAUGCUGAAGCUUGCAGCAAACAGGAAUAAUUUGUACAUGUCCUCACAGUUAUGUUAAUUUCUUAAGUUCCAAAAUACCGUAACGGUCAAUUAUAAAUUAUGUAAGGUAGUACGAUAUGGUGGGAAAUGUAAGGAACAUACAGAUUUGUGCAGUGUGUCCAAACAUAUUUGAAGAACUAAUAACCAUUCAAUUAUGUCCUUACUUACAGCAUCUCAGAUCAAAAGUUCAGAGCAAAGAGCAAAAAGAAGCAGACAAAUUUCAUUAUCUAUCAGAAAAUUGCAAUUUCUACACAUGAUGUACACAAAGUUUCUGCUGUUAUUGAAUUAGCAGGUUAGACCCCCUGGAACUCUUAUUUUGUAUACAAUCAUCACACAUUAUCUCACAUCACUGUGGAAGAAAAUUCAACACAGAGAAAAAUGCGGUGGGGGUGAAUUUGAUCACAUGGAUUUCCACAAUGGUUGCUAUUAUGUAAUUUGCCUCACUUUGUCUCUUCGGUGCUACCACCAAUGUUGUCAAGCCAUAGUACUAGUUCAUGGGUUAGGGGCCUUAGUUUAGGUGACUCACUUAUGCACAAACAGGCAAUGUCGAUCAUCUGCAUCAUUUGCAUCUCAAACUUAUUGUCAUACAUUGCACGGUCCAAUACUUCAGCUUCACGGUUUUCUUCUUUCAUACGCAAAACCCACGAGACCAACUCUCGAGCUCCCUUCGGCUUGCACAUAUCUACAGGCCUCUUUCCAGUUAAUAACUCCAAAAGAACAAUGCCGAAACUAUAAACAUCACCUUUGAAAUUGGCUACUGAAGUCUGGCCAUACUCAGGGGGGAUGUAGCCUAGUGUGCCAACUAGAUCAGUUGUCACAUGUGUGUCAUAGGGACAAAUAAGCCGAGCAAGCCCAAAAUCAGCCAAAUGAGCUUCAAACUCCUCAUCUAAAAGUAUGUUGCUUGACUUGAUAUCACGGUGGAGUAUAUGGGGUUGGCAUGACAAGUGUAGGUAUGCUAAACCUCUUGCCGCUCCUUUUGCUAUCUGAAGCCUCGUUUGCCAACUUAAUCUAGAUGGACCAUCAGGCUUUUCAUGAAGCCAAUGGUCUAGGCUACCAUUCUCCAUGUAAGAGUAGAUCAGUAGUCUAUCAUUGCCAAUCCUGCAAUAACCCUGCAGAAGCACAAGAUUAGGAUGUUGAGCUUUUGAUAAAGUCUCCACCUCGGCUUUGAACUCACGCUCCAUCUGGCCAAAAUCACCUGACAGCCUUUUAAUGGCAAUCGUUGCUCCAUCUGGCAAUGUUGCUUUGUACACUAGCCCAAAGCCACCACAACCAAUUAUGUUUGCCUGAUCAAAGUUGUUUGUCGAUUUCAAUAUGUCACCGAUAGUCAUGGCCUUGCUAUCAUCCUUGUUCUGAAACAAAAGAACCAGUGAGGCUGGUGCUAAUUCAAGAGCUUCAGUUGUAUCUGCAACCGCCUUAACUAUAUAGUCCUGUCUUCUGGAGCUACUCUUCAAUACAAGUAUAACAGCAACAGACAACACAAAUGCUGCUCCAAGUGCAAUGCCAAUAGCUAUUCCUAAUAUGACACCUUUAUUUCUUCCAUUCUUCUUUACAGACAUGGUAGGAAUGUGAGACGG